UCUGUCGCACUUCGGGACACUUCUCCCUCCGCUGCAUCUCACUUUCUCUCCCGGCUGUUUCGUCUUCCUUGGCUUUCCUCCUCUCUACGCGCUUUCAUUUCAUCCAUGUCGGCUUCCUCGUUUGCUCGGCUUCAGCACAAACGCUUCAUCUGGUAUUGACAUCCACCUCGGCUCUGUUUGUUUGGUGAGAUACAGUUUCUUUUCUCCCCCGUCGUCUGCUCCUUCUCGGUGGGUAUCUGGUUCUAGAUUGGAAAUAUCCAACGCCCUCUCGCUUUUUAAAUCCUUCAAUCUUCCAUAUGCCUGCUUGGCACUGCUAGAUUCGUUUAGGUUUUCCCUACAACAUGUGAAUAUGUCACUGCCUUUUUUUGGAUAAAAUGGUUUGGAAGAUCUGCAAACUUCAUUUUUCUUUUUUUAGGAUUCCACCCUUCUACUGAAAGGUUCGUGUUCUCUUGUUUGUGCUCUCCAAUUUUGUUUUUUUUCUUUUUCCUAGGCUUCAGGUUCGUUUCUUUUCCGAAAAUGAUCCUUUUUGGUUGAGCUAAGUUUUCCUUUUUAUAUCCUCGUCUGUUUCGUUUUAGGUGGACAUCUGAUUUCAUUCAGGUGAACUGUUUGCAUCGAAGCGGAGAUUUCAUUUUCCUUUUUUGUCGAUACAUUGAGGUUCGAAAAGGGCACUAUUUUACUUAGCUAAUUGAUUGAGUGCCUCUGUUCUUCAAACUUUUUUUCAAUGUUUAGGGUUUGUCUGGUUUUAGCUUUUCGAGCUAUUCCUUGGUUUCUGUGCUCCAUUCUAAGACCUGUAUAUUGCUCGUAACUUUGACUAUUUGCAAAUAACAGUGUUGCUAUUCCUGAGAAGUAAUAGCAGUGUUGCUUCUGAUUUUCUACCUUUCCCUGAGUUCUUCGUCUUUAUUUUUUUUCACUUUAACCAAAUGUAGUUUUUAUUUCCUGCUCGUUCCGAACAUUUCCUUGUCUCUCAUUUUUAUAUAUGUCUCCUAAGAUCGGUUCAUGCAUCCAACCCACAUCAAAAUCAACAGACAUGGUAUCUAUUGAUAAACAGAGGCAAUUACUAUUGCAGCUUGGGAUCAAACAUGGUUUACAAAUUUGUUGUAUUACUAUGGGCGUGUAAAAAGGGUCAAUUCUAUGUUCUAAACUUAUUUCCAAACAUUCAGGCAGAAUUUGAUCUGGGCACAAGGUACAAUAUGUCCUACCUUAGAGAUUUUACUACAAAGUUUAUGUUUAUUCCUGUUCUUUCGUUGAAACAUGUUGAAGAGGACCUCAGAUCGUUAGAGACUUCGCUAACGAGAGCUUGCCGGAUUGUUUAAUUCUCUUUAGGGGUACCCAUACGCACGCGCUUGCGCCAAUCGUGCCUUAUUCAAUGGAGAAUAGUGUUGCAGAUGCAAUGUACAACAAAAUUAUUGUUUUUGUUUUCGACCAAGUUGUGGAUACCACACCCUGGAAGAGUUGGUGGUAGAUUCUUCAUCAAGUAUGGAAUGUCUGCGAUGCCUAGCUAGGUGCUUGAUGGCAACAGGUGCAUAUCAAAACUAUUAAUUAUUUUCAUGUGUUCCUGCUUCAAGAACACAUGCAAUAGUAAUAGGUUUCCAUUAGUUUAAAUGUCACAUGCAAAGAAGCAAACACCACCCAGACUUUCUUCUUAGUUUGCCAUUAUCACAUCUGUACUCAUCAUGCACAUGAAACUUUUGGUUAUGUACAACUCAAAGGUAGAAGGAAGACCUUAAGGU